AAGCAUAUCAAUAAGCGGAGGAAAAGAAACCAACAGGGAUUGCCUCAGUAACGGCGAGUGAAGCGGCAACAGCUCAAAUUUGAAAUCUGGCCCCAGGCCCGAGUUGUAAUUUGCAGAGGAUGCUUUUGGCGCGGUGCCUUCCGAGUUCCCUGGAACGGGACGCCAUAGAGGGUGAGAGCCCCGUCUGGUUGGACACCAAGCCUCUGUAAAGCUCCUUCGACGAGUCGAGUAGUUUGGGAAUGCUGCUCAAAAUGGGAGGUAUAUGUCUUCUAAAGCUAAAUACCGGCCAGAGACCGAUAGCGCACAAGUAGAGUGAUCGAAAGAUGAAAAGCACUUUGAAAAGAGAGUUAAAUAGCACGUGAAAUUGUUAAAAGGGAAGCGUUUAUGACCAGACUUGGGCCGGUUAAUCAUCCAGCGUUCUCGCUGGUGCACUUUGCCGGUCCAGGCCAGCAUCAGUUCGUCGCGGGGGAUAAAGGCGUCGGGAAUGUGGCUCCUCGGAGUGUUAUAGCCCUUCGCGCAAUACCCUGCGGUGGACUGAGGUUCGCGCUCUGCAAGGAUGCUGGCGUAAUGGUCAUCAACGACCCGUCUUGAAACACGGACCAAGGAGUCGUCUUCGUAUGCGAGUGUUCGGGUGUAAAACCCCUACGCGUAAUGAAAGUGAACGCAGGUGAGAGCUUCGGCGCAUCAUCGACCGAUCCUGAUGUUCUCGGAUGGAUUUGAGUAAGAGCAUACGGGGCCGGACCCGAAAGAAGGUGAACUAUGCCUGUAUAGGGUGAAGCCAGAGGAAACUCUGGUGGAGGCUCGCAGCGGUUCUGACGUGCAAAUCGAUCGUCAAAUAUGGGCAUGGGGCGAAAGACUAAUCGA
rnacentral:rRNA from 1 species